GGUCAGCAGGCUCGCCGCAUGCUGUGGCCACUUCAGAUCAAGGCUGCAGAGAGCAGGUGCCUCGUUAGAUGUGUGCGCUUGCUCGUGGGGCCGGAGGCUGCGCGAGUGCUGCGUCUCUGCUGAAACCCCACUCAUAAACAAGUCUAAUUGAUCUUCCUCAAGAGAGCGACUCAGCGGGGACACCUGCUGACCAGACAAGGAACUGCAGGGAGCUGGAGCAGACCUGAAGAGUGGUGCUGAGGAUUAAAAAAUUAUGCUCAGCAGGGCUGAGGUGUUGAAGCAGGAGCGCAGUGGAGUCCAAAGCCAGGGGGACGUUUUGAGACGAAGACACCAGCAGGUUCUCAGGGUUCGGGACCGCCCCUGGAAAACGGGCGAGAUGACAUGCAAAACUGCUUCAGCUGCUCCUCCUCAGGGGGGUUGAGACCCAGGGAGGGGACGACCUUCCCGUUGGACAUGAGGAAGUCAUCGGACCGGUUGGCGCUCCACAGCCCCAUCAGACCCACGACGACCACCCGGAGGCCGCUGGCGUAGACGGCUGCACAGCGAUUCACCGAGAGACAGCGCACCGCAAAGCCCUGCUUGUUCUCGUACACAACACCUGGAAGGACAGGGUGAAGAUAUUAGAGCCGCUGGCGGAUGAGAGACGUAAUAUCACAAACUUCCCCAGGGCCUUAAACGAGUACUCUGCCCCGUCGAAGACUUUUUUCUGGGGAUUCCUCACCGGUGCCCCGCGCUGCCCCGCUGCGAAUGCUGGAGACGUAACUCUGACAGCGAUCCAAAGGUCUCUUUCUGAGAAGUAGCGCUCGUUGAACCCAGCCAGCAGGGCGCCUUCCGGCUCGUACACGCACCUCUUCCCGGCGCCAUACUGGUUGGACAG